GAGUGCUGAGAUACCCUUGAUUCUGGUCAACCCAGAGUUCACCUGGAAAGCCUUGAAAACAAAACAUAAAAAAAAAAUUGAGUAAGAUAUGGGGAAAUUGAAACCUCGCUCUUAUUGAAUGUGCUUAAUUUUUUUUUUUCCUCUUGCGUCUGUGUGACUUUUUUUUUUUUUUUUUUCCCAUGUUUUAUUACAAAUGCUUGUAUAAAGUUGCCUUACUGUGUCAUCGGCCUGCAGAGUGCGCUCCAGGGAUGCGAUUAUAAGAUACGAGUUGAGAAAGGAACCUGAUACAACCCCUUUCAAGCACUGUGCUGGCCCAGUGUGGCCUGUAGGGCAACAGCAUGCAAGAUUAGCUGCCUCCUUAUCCAGGCUUCGGCGGAGCGAGAGGCUACGGUCUCGUCAGAGGUCAGAAGACACUGCUUUGGACCCUGAAGCACCUUUCGGCAAGCUUCAGCAGUCUGAAGAUCCUCGAGCCGGGUUUCAGUGGAUUUCGCUUGAAGCUAAUGUUUAACCCGACCAAGAUUUAGGAUUGUGCUAUCAAAAUGUUGUUUAACUUUUCUGAUGAAUUCCGAAUUUCUAAGAUAUGAUUGAUAUCAAGCUGUGCUUGUGUCCCGCGUACCAGCGUGCGACUGGAGCCUGUACUGGUUUUAAUUAGCCCCUGGCGCUUCGGGCGGAUUACUGGUCCGCUGGUGUGCAGUGCUGGGGUGUGCAAGCCCUAAAGAAGGCAGCCUUGAUUGGUUUGGAGAUGGAACCAAGAUGUCCAGGGUCUGCUGGGAGUGAAGAUAUUCUUACAAGUAGACGUGCGGUGGGUCGGUUCUGAUCCUUACAGAUGCGGGACACGACCCCAUGCAAAAAUGACAGAAUCACUGGCACUGUGUAAUUUGUGUACAAUUUUUAAAUCUACCUUUUUUGUAUUUUGUCCCAGCGUGUGUCAAAAUGGCUGAUAUCUGUGCAUCUUUAUAUCCUUACGCCCCUCCCUUUGCAUUUCUCAGCCCAAAGAUUAGUUUUUGUACGAAUAUCAUUAUAUAUUGUUUAUAUGUGUGUAUAAACUCUCUAUGUGA